rnacentral:rRNA from 1 species
CCUACGGGCGGCAGCAGUGAGGAAUAUUGGUCAAUGGGCGCGAGCCUGAACCAGCCAAGUCGCGUGAGGGAUGACUGCCCUACGGGUUGUAAACUUCUUUUAUAAGGGAGUAAAGUGACGCACGUGUGCCUUUUUGUAUGUACUUUCUGCAUAAGCAUCGGCUAACUCCGUGCCAGCAGCCGCGGUAAUACGGAGGAUGCGAGCGUUAUCCGGAUUUAUUGGGUUUAAAGGGUGCGUAGAUGGGUGGUUAAGUCAGUUGUGAAAGUUGGCGGCUCAACCGUAAAAGUGCAAUUGAUACUGGCAGGCUGGAGUGCAGGAGAGGUAGGCGGAAGUCGUGGUGUAGCGGUGAAAUGCUUAGAUAUCACGAAGAACUCCGAUGGCGAAGGCAGCUUACUAGACUGCCACUGACGUUGAUGCUCGAAAGUGUGGGUAUCAAACAGGAUUAGAUACCCUGGUAGUC